AUCCAUUUAUUUCAACCAUUUCACUCAGAGUAACCUACAACAGCAGGCUACUUCUGGCAGGAGCAGCGCUUAAACCAUCUGCAGUUGUAAGCAAGCCACAGGUUGAUGUUGGUGGCAAUGACAUGAGGGUUUCCUACACACUGGUAAGCUAGGUGGUUUUAAGAUAUAGCUAUCAAAGGGAACAAUAUAUGUCAAUCCUAUUGUUUCUUUUAUAACUAAUAUUACAAUCUCUAUUGGUAGGAUUUUUUAAAAGCUCUUUUGGGAGAAAUUUCUAGUCUAUUCUAUUAAGUUUUAUGAAGAAUACUUACUAGCAAAAUACAACCUACCUGCAUGACAACCCGUUUACCUUCACCUAAAAAAGGUAUUGGUGGAUCCAGAUGCCCCAAGCCCAAGUGACCCAUCGCUGAGGGAGUACUUGCACUGGAUGGUAACAGAUAUCCCUGAAACAACUUCCAUCAGCUUUGGUUAUGUUCCGCAAAGGCUCAAACAUGUUAUUACCACUAAAUCAUACUAGGAUAUCAAGGAAUAAAAACUGAAUGUUACACAAGCUGUCAGGUGACACUAAUGCAUAUACAACUUUUAUAACAAGCUUGAUUCCCUCAAAGACACAACUAGGGGCCACUAAUUAUAGAUCACAAUCACAUAACAAGGCCUUAAUUUUGUUUAAAUGAGUAACAAAGAUACUAGGUGCAUUUAAACUGUUUUAAAAACAGUUCCUCUUAAUGGUACACAAGAGCUCAGAAUCUGAUAAAAGUUUAUAGUGGCAAGUAUCCAUGUUAAUGAAGCUAAAUAUAUCAGAAAGAAUUUUACAACGGGUCAUUCUUUGAUGACCAACAAUACAUAGAAUGGGGGCUUAUAAUAUAUUGGAAUGCCUAAGGAUUUGUAUUUCGCUACAUGGAACAUAAAGUUUUACUCGAGUUGCACACUUUUUACUUGCAGUGAGUGCAUCAGUAAAAAAUCAUUAUAAUUUUACGCAAAGUCUGGUACCAUUUAACUUCAGUAAAAUCUCAACAGAUUAUUCUUGUAUGCUUUUUAUCGGAGUUGUAAAAUAAGCUACUCAAACACUUACAAUAGUGUCAUGCUACCGCAUUUACUUCUCUCACAUGCCAAGUGGUUUCAUUUUAUUUGUGGUAUUUAGAGGAUUUUUGUAUUUGUAAUAUGCGAUUUUGCUUCUAACUACCAUACACUGGAGUAAAAGGUUGCCCUAUAUAUUGGAACAAAAAUUUGCUCCUAUGGCUUAAACACAUAUUUCUAUAUCUAUAAGAGCUGUAUUUGUCUAUAUCAAAAGAGGCAACUGCACCAUAUAUGGAAAUAUGGAUGAGUCAACCUACAUUUGAAGAGAAUAAACUGUCUUAUGCUUAUAGUCGAGAACUUCAUAAAUCCAAAGUGCCCGAAUGACCCUGCAGGCGAAGAGUUAAUAUUAUAUGAGAAGCCAGAGCCAAGAUCAGGCAUCCAUCGGAUGGUAUUUGUGCUGUUCCGCCAACUUGGCAGGCGGACAGUCUUUGCACCGGAAAAACGACAUAACUUCAACUGCAGAAUUUUUGCACGCCAACACCACCUCAACAUCGUGGCUGCCACAUACUUCAACUGUCAAAGGGAGGCAGG